UUUAUGAUUAUAUUAAUUUUAAUUUAAUAAGUGUCUAUUAAGCUAAUCGUAUUAAGUUAAACCUACUAAGCUACGUAGGUACCAUUUAUCUAUUAAGUAACUUUAAAACUGACUGCUUUUCUUAUUAGAUAAUAGUAAUCGGUGGUGCAACUAGCACACAAUUUUAGGAGGGGGCUAUAGCUCCAUCUUAAUAUUAUACCAUUAGUAAUAUGUAGGGGGCUUCGCCCCACAAACCCCCUACAC